ensembl:misc_RNA Metazoa_SRP Metazoan signal recognition particle RNA
GCCGGGCGCGGUGGCGCACGCCUGUAGUCCCAGCUACUCGGGAGGCUGAGACAGGAGGAUCGCUUGAGUCCAGGAGUUCUGGGCUGUAGUGCGCUAUGCCGAUCGGGUGUCCGCACUAAGUUCGGCAUCAAUAUGGUGACCUCCCGGGAGCGGGGGACCACCAGGUUGCCUAAGGAGGGGUGAACCGGCCCAGGUCGGAAACGGAGCAGGUCAAAACUCCCGUGCUGAUCAGUAGUGGGAUCGCGCCUGUGAAUAGCCACUGCACUCCAGCCUGGGCAACAUAGCGAGACCCCGUCUCUU